rnacentral:rRNA from 1 species
GACGAACGCUGGCGGCGUGCUUAACACAUGCAAGUCGAACGGAAAGGCCCUGCUUUUGUGGGGUGCUCGAGUGGCGAACGGGUGAGUAACACGUGAGUAACCUGCCCUUGACUUUGGGAUAACUUCAGGAAACUGGGGCUAAUACCGGAUAGGAGCUCCUGCUGCAUGGUGGGGGUUGGAAAGUUUCGGCGGUUGGGGAUGGACUCGCGGCUUAUCAGCUUGUUGGUGGGGUAGUGGCUUACCAAGGCUUUGACGGGUAGCCGGCCUGAGAGGGUGACCGGCCACAUUGGGACUGAGAUACGGCCCAGACUCGUACGGGAGGCAGCAGUGGGGAAUAUUGCACAAUGGGCGGAAGCCUGAUGCAGCAACGCCGCGUGCGGGAUGACGGCCUUCGGGUUGUAAACCGCUUUCGCCUGUGACGAAGCGUGAGUGACGGUAACGGGUAAAGAAGCAACGGCUAACUACGUG